rnacentral:rRNA from 1 species
AUUGAACGCUGGCGGCAUGCUCUACACAUGCAAGUCGAACGGUAACAGGCCGCAAGGUGCUGACGAGUGGCGAACGGGUGAGUAAUGCAUCGGAACGUGCCCAGUCGUGGGGGAUAACUACUCGAUAGAGUAGCUAAUACCGCAUACGAUCUAUGGUUGAAAGCGGGGGACCGUAAGGCCUCGCGCGAUUGGAGCGGCCGAUGUCAGAUUAGGUAGUUGGUGGGGUAAAGGCUCACCAAGCCAACGAUCUGCAGCUGGUCUGAGAGGACGACCCGCCACACUGGGACUGAGACACGGCCCAGACUCCUACGGGAGGCAGCAGUGGGGAAUUUUGGACAAUGGGCGCAAGCCUGAUCCAGCAAUGCCGCGUGCAGGAAGAAGGCCUUCGGGUUGUAAACUGCUUUUGUACGGAACGAAACGGCUCUGGUUAAUACCCGGGGCUAAUGACGGUACCGUAAGAAUAAGCACCGGCUAACUACGUG